AUCAACCACCCGAGCCACUGCCUGUUCACCCCGCUAUCAUCCAGAAGGCGAGAAAAAAAAUUGAAUGCAUUCUGGGACCAGGAGGCAAAGAAACCGCUGUGCCCAAUCAAAGUGUCUGCCAUUUGCACGUUUUUUAUUAUGUGAAACCAGAUGGAGGAGAAGGAAGUCUUAAAAAUAAUUAUAUUGAAGCGUAACAAUUAGUCGAAAUUGCUUAAGUCCAAGAUUUAGGUUUAAACUGUAGUAACUUGGAGGCUAAGGCGUAACUUUUUGAUUUGUUAACUCAGUGAUGCUUAUAAUUUACUGUUUCACAAUUCCAGUGGGUCAGAAGUUUACAUACACUAAGUUGACUGUGCCUUUAAACAGCUUGGAAAAUUCCAGAAAAUGGUGUCAUGGCUUUAGAAGCUUCUGAUAGGCUAAUUGACA